ensembl:lncRNA
AGAAAACCCACAGCCCUCAAGCACUGUGGCCUCUGAAGCUCUCAGAGGGAUCUGUGCAGCCUCAUCACCUCAAUUACGAAAACACAAGUCGGGUACGUCGCUGCUUGUUUUUGCUUUGAUGGCCGCAUCUAUUAGGCAGUGAUUUCUGGCACUUCCUCCUUGCUGCUGUCACCCCUCACAAACCCCAUCGCUGGGGGUCUGGUGAAGUUGUGUGUCCCUGCAGCAGGAGCCACUCCUGCCCCGGCGCAGCAAACCGCAGCACAGCACUGCACAGCCUGCGCGUGGAUCCAGUUAAGUCUUGAAAGACUUUGUGGGUUAUGACAUUCCCCUAAAUGUGCUGAGCUUUCUUUAACCUUUCAUAAAACAUUGUGAUCUUUAUGGACUGUAUCAUAUUGUGCAGUAAUGUGCUUUAUUGUCCACAGAAUAAGCUUUUCUUAAAGAUAAUUGGAAAGCUGGAAAUGGCUG